ACCCAGCCACUGCGCCACCUGCCCCAGUUCCAAUUUCAAAGCAGUAGUCCUCCCAAACCGAGCCUCCCCCUUCCUCUCCUCUUCCGCCGCCGUGCGGCGUUGAUCCUCCAUGCAGAUCCAUGGCCGGCCCCAAGUUUUUAGUGAGCUGCUUAUCAGCAUGAAGAGGUCUGGAGUGGCAGCAGGUCGAGUGCUGGGAGAAGUUCGUCGCCGGCAACGCCAUGAACACCCGUCGUGCGUCCACCGGGCUCUGCGAUGACCUGCGUCGAGGACGCCUCCACCUUGGUUGGAUCUGCAGCUCGCUGUCAUCUCGCAGCUUGUCAGACGGGGGACGCCGUGGAAUUAGGUUAUCUUUUGGAGGCGCCGACUCGCCGGGAUCUGAAACCGGCGCCAUCCAUCCAAGUGGAUCUGACUCCAGAUACGAACGUCAAUCCCGGCCAAGUCCACGCUCGCGGGUCGUCCGGCUCUCCUUAGCGCUUUGUGGCCUGCUGAAUCAGCUUCUUCUGAGCUUCGGUCCUCUGUUUGAGCGGAUGACAUCUGUAAUUUCAUGGGUUCCGCAAAGAGGCACUGUACAGAAAAGAGCAAGAUACCUGUAGAUAGCGACGUAAUCAGAAAACAGCUAAUAAGUGAUUCUGGAAGAGUAUUUAAGUCAAAAAUUCCGGAGCAGAUAAGGGAAGACCUGAUUCAAUCCCUUAUAUUAUACUUCCAUGACAUAUUUGAUGGAUACUAAAGCUUUUUCGUGGAAUUUUUUCUCAAGGUGGCGGUGGAAUCCUGUUGGUCUACUACUCUACUACGAGAUACUUGUGCCUUCUGCUGCUUAUUUUUUUUAGGAAUUUUUUGUUUUCUAAGAUGAGAUGAGAAGUAGAGUGGCCAACUCAGUUUGCUUUCGUUCUAUAUGCUAUGGGCUUGUAACCCCAGUCUCGUUCCACCCCUUCUGUUUGUACUAUGCAGCAAAUUAUCUCUGUCUUUCUAACAGACAUAGCAUAGAGGGUACGCUAUGAGUUACCACAAUGUACUCUAUGGAACAGUAUCAAAGGACAGAAU